rnacentral:tRNA from 1 species
GGGAAGUAUGCUAAUUGGUAUAGCGAUCUAACUGUAAAUUAGAUGACAGAGUCACUAUAGGUUCGAGUCCUAUACUUCUCA